AUGGCACCCACCACCCUCCACCUGCUUCUGUGGGCAACCAUCAUUUCAGGACUGGGCAGGGAUUCUCAUAGCCUGGAACUGGGGCCAAAUCCAGCCCUAGACUUCAGGGGUGGAGACAGUAGGCGGGCUAACUUCAUUCCUCCUUCACACCCAGGGUUCCGUGGCUGUAGACCUUGGGCCUUAAAUACGGAUGGUCAGGCCCAUCGGCUGGAUCUAAGGGACCAAAUAUGUAUGAAGUGGAGCACCUGGUAGGAUCCAUGAAAGGCUUUGGCGGUACCGCAGGGGGCAACCAGGAACCCUCCCCCCACAUCCACACAGCCAGCUUUCUAUAAACCUGGAAGGAUUGAAAGGGGGAAGAACGUGCAGCUCAAGGAAGGCUGAGCAUCUCCAGAGCCCCCUGGCUCCUAGUCCUCCCACCACCCUGCCGUCCAGCCCUGAGUAGCCCACCCACCUGCUCUAUGGAGGGACCCUCGGAACCAAUGAAUGUGCCUGGGGGACGGUACUAACUUGCGUUCUUCAGUUGCUGCGAGAAGCGGUGUCUUUAAUUUAUACGAGGGAAAGGAGUGCCAUGCUUUAAGGAACCCCCGGCUCAGUUUGGAAAAAUCCUGGCUAGGACUCCCUUCCCCCAAACCCUCCUCUUUUUUCCCCAAAGCCCGUGGUCAGCAGAGCGCCCCGUGUUGUGGCCGGGAUCGGUUUCACUAGCCUCCAUUCUAUCGCGGUUUUUAGGCCUCGCGGGCG
rnacentral:lncRNA from 1 species